rnacentral:lncRNA from 1 species
CUCUAACUUGGAUAAUUUCAUUUGUGUCCCUUUGUAAAAACAGGUUUGUUUUUCAGGCCUUUUGCCCCUCGAGACCUCAGUGAUGUGAAUGUGAGCAGUGCUCUGUGCAUUUAUGCAUGCUCGUGUCCUGGAGCCUAGAAGCACAAUUUCCCGUAAACAUUUCCAAGUUUGGAACAAAAACAGUGAUGGCCUGUGCCGUGACUUGAGUUCAGCAAGAACUGCCUGCUUGUGCUACAUGUCUUCAGUGGGAGUAUUAUCAUUAUAUAAAUGGAGACAAGAGGUUUUCACCCAGAUUACACAUGUGCAAAAAAACCAUACGUUAAGCUAGAACAUCCACUUCCUGAAAAUAUGGCACAGGAGAAGGGAGAGAACUGGUGUAGGUGUGAACCUUGCACCUGCAUUUUGGAAAGGCACAUUCUACCUGUCCUUCCAUCCAUCUGUUCAUCACCCAAGGAAUCCUGAGAGCUUUUUUGCUUUGCUUCCUGUGCCUAUGGAAACAGAAAAACUAAAGAAAGAUGAACGACUUCUGUGUGAAAUUUCCUUCCAGGGAACUAACUGCAAAUUGCAGUGGUUAUUAAUAGGAGUGAUUCAAGUCUAAUCAGGGAAAAGUAAGUAAAAACAUUUACUUUGCAUCCUACAAUCUAUGUUGGGGCUGGAAAACAAGAACUCUUUUUCUUUUUUUGGCACUUGUUUUCAUUUUCUUGACUUUGUUGUUCAUUUAUAGAAAAUAAUGGAAAAAGGGAAGCCAUCUCAGGAAGGAAAAAAACUCGCUUGUCACCUGGGAUAAGGAGAAUCAAAGGUGAGGCCCGGGGUGAAAAAUGGGCAGAGAAAGGGCUCCCAUGUUUGAGAUAGGUGCAUCUACAGGGCAUAUAUGUGAUGUGGGCUGUUGCUGUCUUAGGUUUUUAGCUGGGAGUUCCCCUUGUGGGUAGAGCUUUACUCCUGACCCCUCGUGGUUCUGAAUGUUCAGUGUCAAAUUGGCCAGUGUACUCCAUUUCCUGUGCUAAUAUAGGUCUUUUCUUUGUUUAAAUCAUGCCUUAUGCCAGUGGGAGAAAUUGAAUACACAAA